AAAACAACAUCAGAAUCCCUGAAGUAGGGGAAGAAAGGUGACAUUAAAAAAGUCAAAAGUGGUUUUUUUUUUUUAUUUUUGUUUUUAAAGAAACUCAGGAAUUCUGCUCUUGGGAAGAUGGAUUAGAUGUAUUAUUCUUUACUCUUCCCACUAACUACAACUAAAACCUCAGACUUACAUAUAAAACAAGCAUAAGGAGACUCUGAACGGUGAAGAGAAGAAGGUGGACUUACUGGAGAUCUUAAGACCCAAGAAAUAAUGGAGA
rnacentral:lncRNA from 1 species